GGAUUUUUAGAACAACAAUGUUGGAAGGUCCUCUCAUUUCCCAACAAUCACUGCUGUUAUAAAUAUAGUUCGCAUACAGUAUCAUGUACGACAAGUAUAUAGAGAUAACCGAAAAUACUAAAACAACGACAGUAACAGGUGCUCUCAUCAUUCACUAGAUGUCAAAAAUUUGUUGGAGAAGGUAGCAAAUUACAGUCACAAAUCCCACAUAAAUGCAGGAGAGGCCUACAAUAAGUUACUUUACCCACCAGAAAAACAGCCCACCUACACAUCCUACCUGAAGAAUUUAUUGAUCUCCACCAGCAAUUGACAAUUGGAAAAACAAUGCGGAAUGAUGCUACAAAUCCAUAAAAUUUGCUAGAUUUUGAGAAUGCAAACCCAAAAAAUGGCCCUCCUACUUAACGAUUUUCACAGCCUGUCUCUUCUUCAUCAAAUCAGCUUUUGCUUCCAUCUUCACCGGCACUGGAGCUGAGAAAACUAAACUUCCAUAUUGAUCCUGGCAAGCCCUAUGAAUUUCAUAAUCAUUUCUUAUAGGAUUCCCCUCACCAUCACUGCUCUGUGUAGAUGCUGCAUUCUCUUCCUCAAAAACUUCACCAUCCUCAGUACCUUUAGAGAUCCCCUUUCUCUCUUC
rnacentral:misc_RNA from 1 species